GGGCCCGUAGCUCAAAGGUUAGAGCGGCCGGCUCAUAACCGGUUGGUCGUGGGUUCGAAUCCCGCCGGGCCCA
rnacentral:tRNA from 1 species